rnacentral:rRNA from 1 species
CCUGAUCCAGCCAUGCCGCGUGUGUGAAGAAGGCCUUUUGGUUGUAAAGCACUUUAAGCAGUGAAGAAGACCUAACGGUUAAUACCCGUUAGCGAUGACAUUAGCUGCAGAAUAAGCACCGGCUAACUCUGUGCCAGCAGCCGCGGUAAUACAGAGGGUGCAAGCGUUAAUCGGAAUUACUGGGCGUAAAGCGAGCGUAGGUGGCUUGAUAAGUCAGAUGUGAAAUCCCCGGGCUUAACCUGGGAACUGCAUCUGAUACUGUUAAGCUAGAGUAGGUGAGAGGGAAGUAGAAUUCCAGGUGUAGCGGUGAAAUGCGUAGAGAUCUGGAGGAAUACCGAUGGCGAAGGCAGCUUCCUGGCAUCAUACUGACACUGAGGCUCGAAAGCGUGGGUAGCAAACAGGAUUAGAUACCCUGGUAGUCCACGCCGUAAACGAUGUCUACUAGUCGUUGGGUCCCUUGAGGACUUAGUGACGCAGCUAACGCAAUAAGUAGACCGCCUGGGGAGUACGGCCGCAAGGUUAAAACUCAAAUGAAUUGACGGGGGCCCGCACAAGCGGUGGAGCAUGUGGUUUAAUUCGAUGCAACGCGAAGAACCUUACCUGGUCUUGACAUACACAGAAUCUUGUAGAGAUACGAGAGUGCCUUCGGGAAUUGUGAUACAGGUGCUGCAUGGCUGUCGUCAGCUCGUGUCGUGAGAUGUUGGGUUAAGUCCCGCAACGAGCGCAACCCUUGUCCUUAGUUACCAGCGGGUUAAGCCGGGAACUCUAAGGAUACUGCCAGUGACAAACUGGAGGAAGGCGGGGACGACGUCAAGUCAUCAUGGCCCUUACGACCAGGGCUACACACGUGCUACAAUGGUAGGUACAGAGGGCAGCUACACAGCGAUGUGAUGCGAAUCUCAAAGCCUAUCGUAGUCCAGAUUGGAGUCUGCAACUCGACUCCAUGAAGUAGGAAUCGCUAGUAAUCGCGAUCAAUGCCGCGGUGAAUACGUUCCGGGCCUUGUACCACCGCCCGUCACACCAUGGAAGUUAUUGCACCAAUGGUUAGCCAACCUUUAGACGGCAUCCCACGGUUGUGAUGACUG